UUAAAAAAACUUGUAGCAGAUAAACUUGGCAAAAAACUUGUCUGGCAAACAAGGCCCUCAUUUGCCAGUAAUUAGUAAGACAAGAAGCAGUAGCUAGUAAGACAAGAAGUAGUUUGAAGUGGUGUUUUCCCUUUCCUUAAUCUCCAUAUGGUUCCUAGGGGAUUGAAUUAUUUUCAAGUUUUGAUACUUAUUUUUGUCGAAAUUUGUUCUGAAAAUGCCUAGUGAACUUGAAGUGCAUGUGAAUAUCUCUCCAGUCUGAAGUCUCCAUUUUGUAGGAUUGUCAAGUGAAUUCUACUCUACCUGCUUAAUAAUCUGAAGACGGUACGGAGCCCGUCCUGACAAUAACAGAGUGGUUUACCUGUAUAUCUAUCCUGGCUCCAAUGCGAAGAUGUGGAUCAACUUAUUCAGUCACCCCUUGCAGGCUGCAGGUGAAUUGAUGGAGGCAACCUACCGGGCCUUCGCCAAAUUAAUCGUCAUCGGGGAAAUUCUCAGUCAAUUCCAACCUUUUUUAAUUUGUUUUUCCUUUGUCAUCAGCUGGAUGGCAUCCCAAAAAAAAAGUUCAAUUAUACAACACGAUGCUGCAAAGAAUGUUCCACUCUUGGUGACUUCAACUAGAUGUUCAUACACACCAUACUGAAGUGCAGCCAGAAUGAGAUUGGAGUUAUUUGAACCCAACUGCAGAAGAACUGCAGUUGCACAUUCCUUGUUUUUGGGAGUGCCGUCUCUGAUGAAGUUAACAAGAGUCUCAAUAAAUGAGAGCUGUCCAAUUUCUUGCCUU